rnacentral:rRNA from 1 species
UACGUGGGGGCAAGCGUUGUCCGGAAUCAUUGGGCGUAAAGAGCGCGUAGGCGGUCCGGUAAGUCGGUUGUGAAAACUGGGGGCUCAACCCUCAGAGGCCGACCGAUACUGUCGGGCUAGAGUCCGGAAGAGGCGAGUGGAAUUCCUGGUGUAGCGGUGGAAUGACGCAGAUAUCAGGAGGAACACCAAUGGCGAAGGCAGCUCGCUGGGACGGUACUGACGCUGAGGCGACGAAAGCGUGGGGAGCAAACAGG